AUUCCAAUCGAACUCGGAGAUAGCUGGUUCUCCCCGAAAUAGCUUUAGGGCUAGCCUCGAUUUAGAUUAUUGGGGGUAGAGCACUGAAUGGGCUAGGGGGCCACAAAGCUUACUGAACCCUAUCAAACUGCGAAUACCAAUUAAUUGAUGAUCGGGAGUCAGACAGUGAGAGAUAAGUUCCAUUGUCGAAAGGGAAACAGCCCAGAUCCACGACUAAGGUCCCAAAAUACACGUUAAGUGGAAAAGGAUGUGCAGUUGCACAGACAACCAGGAUGUUGGCUUAGAAGCAGCCACUCAUUCAAAGAGUGCGUAAUAGCUCACUGGUCGAGUGAAUGUGCGCCGAAAAUAUACCGGGGCUAAACGUGAUACCGAAGUCUGGGGAUCAAGAAAUUGAUCGGUAGGGGAGCAACGCAUACGGACAGAAGCAGAAGCGGGAGCGACUGUGGACUGUAUGGGAGAGAGAAUGCCGGCAUGAGUAGCGAGAGCAAAGUGAGAAUCUUUGCCGUCGAAAGCCUAAGGUUUCCUGAGGAAGGCUCGUCCUCUCAGGGUAAGUCGGGACCUAAGCCGAGGACAAGAGUCGUAGGCGAUGGACAACAGGUUGAUAUUCCUGUACCGUACUUAAGCGUUUGACUGAAGCAGUGACACAGAAGGAUAGACAGACCGGGGGAAUGGUAGACUCCGGCCAAGCAGUGAGGCUGACAUGUAGUGAAGUACGCAUGUUAAGGCUGGGCUGUGAUGGGGACUGAAGAUUAGUAAGGAAGCUGUUGAAUUCACACUGGCGAGAAAAGCUGCUAAGGAGCGAGAGUAUGCCCGUACCGCAAACCGACACAGGUAGGCGAGGAGAGAAUCCUAAGACGAGCGGGAGAACCCUUGUUAAGGAACUCGGCAAAAUGACUCCGUAACUUAGGGAGAAGGAGUGCCCAGGAAUGGGCCGCAGAGAAUAGACCCAAGCGACUGUUUACCAAAAACACAGGUCUGUGCGAAGUAGAGAUACGACGUAUACGGGCUGACACCUGCCCAGUGCCGGAAGGUUAAGGGGAAAUGUUAGGGCAACCGAAGCAUGGAACUUAAGCCCCGGUGAACGGCGGCCGUAACUAUAACGGUCCUAAGGUAGCGAAAUUCCUUGUCGGGUAAGUUCCGACCCGCACGAA
rnacentral:rRNA from 1 species